UUUCAUUUUUAAUUUAUAUUUUUUGUUUAAGAAACGAUCGUAUUUUUUCGCCAAUAUUAUGUUGAGAUAUAUGAUCAUUAUUAUUUAUUAAAAAAUAGAAUCUUUUCUUAAAAUUUGUUUUCUCUAAAAUCACCCAUGUAAACAUGUAGAUAAUGAUGUUACAUUUAAUAUGAUCAUCUCUCUACUAUUACUCGUUCCUUCAGAAUCGAUACUUUCUCGAGAUAUUGAUAUAUAUCAAAUUGAUACAUCUAAAAAUUAUUUGAACGAUCUUCAAUCGUAAAAAGUAACUCAAUUAGAGCAUUGAAGUACAUUUUCAAUUAUAAAAAGUAAUAAACAGUAGGGAUCCCAAAAAGUUAAAGAAGGCAGGUUUUUUGAAACAUUAUCAAAAAAUGAAUAUAGGUUUUAAGUGUCUACAGUACCUUGGUAAAUGAUUGGAUAUCCAAAAGAAGUAUGAUAUCGUUAUUUCAGUAUAAUGUGAAAACUAGAAAUGUCAGCAAUGACUAUUUUAUAUCAAUUGUCAUUAUUUGAGACAUUUAGCUUUACUGUGGGAAUUAAGGGAAUAUUUCAAAAUUGACCUAGCUAGUGAAGUAUUUAAAGUAGCAAUUUCAUAUCAACCCGUGUUCAAAGAUCUUUAUUUCAAAGUAUAACAAAAUACGAAACUUUGUUAGAAAGAAAAUCAUCGAACGGCAAUAAAUACAGAUAAUACCUUGCCAGUAAAUAAUAAAAAAUUUACGAUGACGCAGGUAGUCAGCGACACGAGUAUCAACUGGCAUAAUAUCGUGUAGUUGUCAUCAGAACAAUUUGUAAGAAAAUAAUAUGCGGUGGAACAGCCCUGGAUUAGUUUAAAAGAAAAUAAAUCAUGUGCAACUAUAAACCAAAAAGAAGUUUCAGGAAAAUGAAAAACAUUUUUAAAACAGUCAAUAAUAAUGAAUUAUUUCCUUAAAUUACAUUUUUAUGUCUCAUGAAAUUAUUACGUUUUACGGCUUUUCUAAUUGUGAUUAUUUAUUAUGUGAUUACGUUCAUGACUUUAUUGUCAUAAAAUAUGUUUUACUUAUUGUAUUA